rnacentral:rRNA from 1 species
CGUGUAGGCGGCUUCGUAAGUCUUGUGUGAAAGCCCUCGGCUCAACCGAGGAAUUGCACGAGAAACUGCGUGGCUCGAGUCCGGGAGAGGAUAGUGGAAUUCCCAGUGUAGCGGUGAAAUGCGUAGAUAUUGGGAGGAACACCGGUGGCGAAGGCGGCUAUCUGGACCGGUACUGACGCUGAGACGCGAAAGCCAGGGAGCAAACG